AUUGAACGCUGGCGGCAGGCCUAACACAUGCAAGUCGAACGAGUGGCGGAAGGGUGUGUAAUGUCUGGGACACUGCCUGAUGGAGGGGGAUAACUCCUGGAAACGGUCGCUAAUCCCGCAUACCAUCAGAUGUGCCCAGAUGGGACUAGCUUGGUGGGGGGGUAACGGCGCACCAAGGCGACGAUCCCUAGCUGGUCUGAGAGGAUGACCAGCCACAUGGGAACUGAGACACGGUCCAGACGCCUACGGGAGGCAGCAGUGGGGAAUAUUGCACAAUGGGCGCAAGCCUGAUGCAGCCAUGCCGCUGGUAUGAAGAAGGCCUUCGGGUUGUAAAGUACUUUCAGCGGGGAGGCGUUACCCGCAGAAGAAGCACCGGCUAACUCCGUGCCAGCAGCCGCGGUAAUUC
rnacentral:rRNA from 1 species